CUCCAACUCGAGAGGCCGUGGGUUCGAACCCUCGUAGAGACCCCAAAUGUUUUUCUCAAUUAUAACCGGCAGUUAUACAAGUCUGCUGCCUCCUGCCCCCAAUGGCAUCAUCCGAUAUAGCAACAAUUCAACAAAUAAAUUAUCUGAAACGA